GGAGCACGUGGGUAUCUGCCUUGGCGUGGGGGACAACGCACCGAAAGGGGCGCUAAUCCCGCAUACGCUCUUCGGAGGAAAGACGUAAGUCGCGCUAAGAUGAGCCUGCGGCCCAUCAGGUAGUUGGUGUGGUAAAAGCGCACCAAGCCGAUGACGGGUCCCUGGUCUGAGAGGACGACCAGGCAGACUGGGACUGAGACACGGCCCAGACUCCUACGGGAGGCAGCAGCAAGGAAUUUUCCGCAAUGGGCGCAAGCCUGACGGAGCAACGCCGCGUGCCGGAAGACGGCCUUCGGGUUGUAAACGGCUUUUUGUUGGGACGAUAAUGACGGUACCAACGGAAUAAGCCCCGGCUAACUCCGUGCCAGCAGCCGCGGUAAUACGGAGGGGGCAAGCGUUGUCCGGACUUACUGGGCGUAAAGCGUGCGUAGGCGGUGCGGUGCGUCGGCACUGAAAGCUCCCGGCUUAACCGGGAGAGGUGUGGCGAUACGACCGCGCUAGAGGCACGGAGAGGGUGGCGGAAUUCCGGGUGUAGUGGUGAAAUGCGUAGAGCUCCGGAGGAACGUCGGUGGGGAAGCCGGCCACCUGGUCGUGACCUGACGCUGAGGCACGAAAGCGUGGGGAGCAAACCGGAUUAGAUACCCGGGUAGUCCACGCAGUAAACGAUGUUCGCUCGGUGUACGGUUCUGCGACAAGCAGAACGGUGUGCCCAAGUUCACACGGUAAGCGAACCGCCUGGGGACUACGAGCGCAAGCUUAAAACUCAAAGGAAUUGAUGGGGGCCCGCACAAGCAGCGGAGCGUGUGGUUUAAUUAGACGCAACGCGCAGAUCCUUACCCAGGUUUGACAUGUUAUUGCAAGCGCACAGAAAUGUGUGACCUUCGAGGGUGUAGCACAGGUGCUGCAUGGCGGUAGUCAGCUCGUGUCUUGAGAUGUUGGGUUAAGUCCCGCAACGAGCGCAACCCUCGUCGAUAGUUAUACGUGUCUAUCGGGACUGCCCUUCGGGGAGGAAGGCGGGGAUGACGUCAAGUCCGCAUGGCCCUUACGCCUGGGGCGACACACACGCUACAAUGCCACCGACAAUGCGUUGCGAGCCGGCAACGGUCAGCUAAUCGCCAAAGCGGUGGCUCAGUGCAGAUCGGGGGC
rnacentral:rRNA from 1 species